ACGGCCCUUACGUCCGGGGCUACACACGUGUUACAAUGGGGGGUACAGAAGGCAGCUACACGGCGACGUGAUGCUAAUCCCAAAAACCUCUCUCAGUUCGGAUCGAAGUCUGCAACCCGACUUCGUGAAGCUGGAUUCGCUAGUAAUCGCGCAUCAGCCAUGGCGCGGUGAAUACGUUCCCGGGCCUUGUACACACCGCCCGUCAAGCCAUGAAAGCCGGGGGUACCUGAAGUACGUAACCGCAAGGAGCGUCCUAGGGUAAAACUGGUAAUUGGGGCUAAGUCGUAACAAGGUAGCCGUACCGGAAGGUGCGGCUGGAACACCUCCUUUCUGGAGC
rnacentral:rRNA from 1 species